CGACUAAGCCAUGCGAGUCGAGAGGUUCAAGACCUCGGCGUACUGCUCAGUAACACGUGGACAAUCUGCCCUGAAGUGGAGAAUAAUCCCGGGAAACUGGGGGUAAUACUCCAUAGUUCGUUAUUACUGGAAUGUUUUUCGAACGAAAGAUCCGUCGCUUCAGGAUGAGUCUGCGGCCGAUUAGGUAGUUGUUGGGGUAAUUGCCCAACAAGCCUGUAAUCGGUACGGGUUGUGGGAGCAAGAGCCCGGAGAUGGAUUCUGAGACACGAAUCCAGGCCCUACGGGGCGCAGCAGGCGCGAAAACUUUACCAUGCGGGCAACCGUGAUAAGGAAACCCCGAGUGCCAGCACAGGCUGGCUGUCCGCCAGUUUAAACAACUGGCGAAGAAAGGGCCGGGCAAGACCGGUGCCAGCCGCCGCGGUAAUACCGGCGGCUCGAGUGGUGGCCGCUAUUACUGGGCUUAAAGGGUCCGUAGCUUGAUAAUAGGGUCCCUUGAGAAAUCCGCCGGCUUAACUGGCGGGCGUUCAGGGGAAACUUGUUUUCUAGGGACCGGGAGAGGUGAGGGGUACUGCCGGGGUAGGAGUGAAAUCCUGUAAUCCCGGUGGGACCACCUAUGGCGAAGGCAUCUCACCAGAACGGGUCCGACAGUGAGGGACGAAAGCUGGGGGAGCAAACCGGAUUAGAUACCCGGGUAGUCCCAGCUGUAAACUAUGUGCGUUAGGUGUGUCAGUGACCACGUGUCACUGAGGUGCCGAAGGGAAACCGUGAAACGCACCGCCUGGGGAGUACGGUCGCAAGGCUGAAACUUAAAGGAAUUGGCGGGGGAGCA
rnacentral:rRNA from 1 species